CGGGGGUAGGGCAUGAUCCGACCCCUGGGAGCCUCAGUUUCUUCAUCUGUGCGUGUGUGUUGCUAUAAUCACACGGCGCAGGGUUGCUCUGCGGCUGAAAGAGCUCCUGCACCUGAAUGGCAGCUCCACAAAGGCUGGGACCUGGUCUGUCUUGUUCAUCAGUGUAGCCCCUUGGUGUAAAAUAGAGCUUGGCACAUUGCAGUCACACAACAUAUAUUGGUGGAGUGGGUCCCGUGUGGCAGCGGCAAGUGCGGCUUCCUCACUCUGAGCCUUUCCUCACCAGGAACUCUCUUUAUGACAAUUCCUGCAUAUCAGGUGGUCUUGUCUCCUUGCCCAGGCUCAGUUCCAUCUGGCUGGCCAUGGUCACUGCCUCUCUUAGGAUGGAUUCCCCAAGAAGCCGACUUGCGGACCCUCUUGGCACACUGGAAGCCCUGACUGUGUCCAGGGCCCCACCUCACUGGUGUGCACAGGAC